UCCAGUUUAUCCUGCUGGCGGCUGCGGCUAUCUGGCCUGCACUUAGACAUGCAAGUUUUUUUCGUAAGAAAGGCGAACUGCUCAGUAACGCGUAGCUAACUUACCCUUAGGUCAGGGAUAACCUCGGGAAACUGAGGAUAAUACCUGAUAGAAGAUAUUUUCUGGAAUGUUAUAUCUUUGAAAUUCGAGCCUAAGGAUAGGGCUGCGGCUGAUUAGGUUGUUGGCGGGGUAAAUGCCCACCAAGCCGAUGAUCAGUAAGGGCUUUUAGCGAAGAGGCCCUGAGAAGGAAUCUGAGACACUAUUCCUAGCUCUACGGAGUGCAGCAGUUAGGGAACUUUUACAAUGCUCGGAAGAGUGAUAAAGCGAGCCAGAGUGUUUUUCAUUUUAUGAAAAACUUUUGUCUGUUGUAAAAAGACAGACGAAUAAGGACUGGGAAAGACCGGUGCCAGCCGCCGCGGUAAUACCGGCGGUCCGAGUCGCAGCCACAUUUAUUGGGUCUAAAACAUUCGUAGCUUGUUUAAUAAGUUUCUUGUGAAAUCUUAUCUCUCAAGGGUAAGGCGUGCAAGAAAUACUGUUAAGCUAGAGACCGGAAGAAGUAAGAAGUACGGUUGAGGUAGUGGUAAAAUACGUUAAUCUCAAUUGGACUAACGAUAGCGAAGGCAUCUUACUACUACGGAUCUGACAGUGAGGAAUGAAGGCUAGGGUCGCAAAACGGAUUAGAUACCCGUGUAGUCCUAGCAGUAAACCCUGCUCACUAAACAUUGGGAUCUCCUCGAGAGAUUUCAGUGCUGUAGGGAAGCCGAAGAGUGAGCUACCUGGGAAGUAUAGUCGCAAGACCGAAACUUAAAGGAAUUGGCGGGGGGGUACUACAACAGGUGACGCGUGCGGUUUAAUUAGAUUUUACACCGUGAACCUUACCAGGACCGAUAGCAGAAUGAAGGUCAGUCUAAAGGGCUUACCUGACACGCUAAGAGGAGUUGCAUGGCCGACGUCAGCCUGUGUCGUGAGAUGACCUGUUAAAUCAGGUAACAGGCGAGACCCGUGUGUAUAGUUACUACGUAAGAGAACACUAUACAGACUGCCUGGGUAACCAGGAGGAAGGUGCGGGCUACGUUAGGUGGGUACAGCCUAAAUGCCCUGGGAUACACGCGCGCGGCAAUGUCAGAUUCAAUGAGAUGCGACUCUGAAAAGAGAAGCAAACCUCAUAAAGUCUAGCCUAGUUCAGAUUGAAGUUUGCAAUUCAGCUUCAUGACGAUGGAAUCUGUAGUAAUCGUUCGUUAUCAGCGAACGGUGAAUAUGUCCCUGCUCCUUGCACACACCGCCCAUCAAACUGACCGAGUUAUGCUUUGGCGAGGUCCUUCGGGAACGAACCUUAGUAUGACAAGGUAAGUUAAGUUGACACAAGGUA
rnacentral:rRNA from 1 species